rnacentral:rRNA from 1 species
UAGAGUUUGAUCCUGGCUCAGAUUGAACGCUGGCGGCAGGCCUAACACAUGCAAGUCGGACGGCAGCGGGAGGAAGCUUGCUUCCUUGCCGGCGAGUGGCGGACGGGUGAGUAAUAUCUGGGGAUCUGCCUGAUGGAGGGGGAUAACCACUGGAAACGGUGGCUAAUACCGCAUGAAGUCGCGAGACCAAAGCGGGGGACCUUCGGGCCCCGCGCCAUCAGAUGAACCCAGACGGGAUUAGCUGGAAGGUGGGGUAACGGCUCACCUUGGCGACGAUCCCUAGCUGGUCUGAGAGGAUGAUCAGCCACACUGGGACUGAGACACGGCCCAGACUCCUGCGGGAGGCAGCAGUGGGGAAUAUUGCACAAUGGGGGAAACCCUGAUGCAGCCAUGCCGCGUGUAUGAAGAAGGCCUUCGGGUUGUAAAGUACUUUCAGCAGGGAGGAAGGGGUGAGGAGUAACAUGCCUUGCCAUUGACGUUACCUGCAGAAGAAGCACCGGCUAACUCCGUGCCAGCAGCCGCGGUAAUACGGAGGGUGCGAGCGUUAAUCGGAAUUACUGGGCGUAAAGGGCACGCAGGCGGUUAAUUAAGCCGGGUGUGAAAUCCCCGGGCUCAACCCGGGAACUGCAUUCGGAACUGGUUGACUGGAGUUCUGUAGAGGGGGGUGGAAUUCCACGUGUAGCGGUGAAAUGCGUAGAGAUGUGGAGGAACACCAGUGGCGAAGGCGGCCCCCUGGACAGAGACUGACGCUCAAGUGCGAAAGCGUGGGGAGCAAACAGGAUUAGAUACCCUGGUAGUCCACGCUGUAAACGAUGUCGAUUUAAAGGCUGUGGUCAUGAACUGUGGCUUUUGGAGCAAACGCGUUAAAUCGACCGCCUGGGGAGUACGGCCGCAAGGUUAAAACUCAAAUGAAUUGACGGGGGCCCGCACAAGCGGUGGAGCAUGUGGUUUAAUUCGAUGCAACGCGAAGAACCUUACCUGGUCUUGACAUCCACAGAAGACUGCAGAGAUGCGGUUGUGCCUUUCGGGAACUGUGAGACAGGUGCUGCAUGGCUGUCGUCAGCUCGUGUUUGUGAAAUGUGGGGUAGUCCCGCACGAGGCGCAAUCCUGUCGUUUGUUGCAGCGCAUGAAGCCGACUCAAGGGGAGAACUGCGGGUGAAUAACCGGGAGGAAGGGGUGGGGACACAACGUCUCUG